CCUACGGGAGGCUGCAGUGGGGCAUAUUGGGCAAUGGGCGCAAGCCUGACCCAGCAACGCCGCGUGAAGGAAGAAGGCUUUCGGGUUGUAAACUUCUUUUGUCAGGGACGACGCAAGUGACGGUACCUGACGAAUAAGCCACGGCUAACUACGUGCCAGCAGCCGCGGUAAUACGUAGGUGGCAAGCGUUAUCAGGAUGUAUUGGGUGUAAAGGGCGUGUAGGCGGGAAUGCAAGUCAGAUGUGAAAACUAUGGGCUCAACCCAUAGCCUGCAUUUGAAACUGUAUUUCUUGAGUGCUGGAGAGGCAAUCGGAAUUCCGUGUGUAGCGGUGAAAUGCGUAGAUAUACGGAGGAACACCAGUGGCGAAGGCGGAUUGCUGGACAGUAACUGACGCUGAGGCGCGAAAGCGUGGGGAGCAAACAGGAUUAGAUACCCUUGUAGUC
rnacentral:rRNA from 1 species